UGCUAAUUAGUUUUUAUGGGUCAAAUUUAAUUUUUAUCAACUUUAACGAAAUUACUUGUUAAACGUUACUGUAAUUAAAUCGUUCUUCUUCAUCCUUCUCAAAUAUCCAUUUUUUAAAAAUUUUCUCUUCCCGCAUCAAAAACCAUCGAUUGGAUUAAAUUAGAAAUGCAUUCAUGGGAAUCGACUAGGCUCUUAUUAACACUUGAAUGUUUUCUUAUUAACGUAAUGGAAGUGAAAGUGAUUUCAUGUUGAAACCAUAACGUCGUGCAAAUGAUCGAGUUAAUAAAACGUAAAGAAAAUCACGAAAUAUCGACCAGAUAACAGAGGAAAAGUAUGGCGAUCGGUCAAAAAUGACUCUCCUCAAGAUU